rnacentral:rRNA from 1 species
UAGGGAAUCUUCGGCAAUGGGGGGAACCCUGACCGAGCAACGCCGCGUGAGUGAAGAAGGUUUUCGGAUCGUAAAGCUCUGUUGUUAAGGAAGAACGAGUGUGAGAAUGGAAAGUUCAUGCUGUGACGGUACUUAACCAGAAAGGGACGGCUAACUACGUGCCAGCAGCCGCGGUAAUACGUAGGUCCCGAGCGUUGUCCGGAUUUAUUGGGCGUAAAGCGAGCGCAGGCGGUUAGAAAGUCUGAUGUGAAAGCCCACGGCUCAACCGUGGAGGGUCAUUGGAAACUAAUAAACUUGAGUGCAGGAGAGAAAAGUGGAAUUCCUAGUGUAGCGGUGAAAUGCGUAGAGAUUAGGAGGAACACCGGUGGCGAAAGCGGCUUUUUGGCCUGCAACUGACACUGAGGCGCGAAAGCGUGGGGAGCAAACAGG